rnacentral:rRNA from 1 species
GACGAACGCUGGCGGCGUGCUUAACACAUGCAAGUCGAACGGUAAGGCCCUUUCGGGGGUACACGAGUGGCGAACGGGUGAGUAACACGUGGGUAAUCUGCCCUGCACUCUGGGAUAAGCCUGGGAAACUGGGUCUAAUACCGGAUAUGAGCCUUCAUCGCAUGGUGGGGGUUGGAAAGUUUUUUUCGGUGCAGGAUGUGCCCGCGGCCUAUCAGCUUGUUGGUGGGGUAAUGGCCUACCAAGGCGACGACGGGUAGCCGGCCUGAGAGGGUGAUCGGCCACACUGGGACUGAGACACGGCCCAGACUCCUACGGGAGGCAGCAGUGGGGAAUAUUGCACAAUGGGCGGAAGCCUGAUGCAGCGACGCCGCGUGGGGGAUGACGGUCUUCGGAUUGUAAACCCCUUUCAGUAGGGACGAAGCGCAAGUGACGGUACCUGCAGAAGAAGCACCGGCCAACUACGUGCCAGCAGCCGCGGUAA